rnacentral:misc_RNA from 1 species
GAUGAAGAACGUAGCGAAACGCGAUACGUAAUGUGAAUUGCAGAUUUCAGUGAAUCAUCGAAUCUUUGAACGCACAUUGCGCCCGCCAGUAUUCUGGCGGGCAUGCCUGUUCGAGCGUCAUUUCAACCAUCAAGCGCCUCGCUUGUGUUGGGGCCCUGCGGCUGCCGCAGGCCCCUAAAUCCAGUGGCGGGCUCGUCGUCGUACCGAGUGCAGUAAACAUCCUCGCUCAGGGAACCCGACGGGUGCCGGCCGUGAAACCCCCCCUCCUCAAGGUUGACCUCGGAUCAGGUAGGAAUACCCGCUGAACUUAAGCAUAUCAAUAAGCGGAGGA